ACCUGUCGCACACCCGGAGGAGGAAAUCAUUGACCAGGCUCUCGUGCCGGCUGCAGAUGCUUCUCUGGAAGGCACUCUUGAGCCAGUCCUCAAUGCUGCACACCUGCACGCGGCUGGAGUGCCAGCAGAUGGAGAGGCUGCGGAGUGCCGGGCCCAGGAGGAAGUUGUCCUUCUGGAGUUCAGUGAGGGAACGGAAGUGCAGCAGGGACCAGAGUGCGGGGUCCUCAAACACGUCGUGGAGCUGGGAGCAGGUCCUGGCAAGGCUCUUCCUGCUGUCCUUGUCUAGGAAGGAGAAGAGGUGCAGCAGGCACUCCCGGUUGAGCUGGGUUAUGUGCAUGGUCACUUCAUCCUGGCCCAGGUACUGCAGCUCCAAAUCGUGGGGAUUCUGUAAGAGCUUGCUACCUGUUGACUGAGGAGGCCCACGAGUCGAG
rnacentral:lncRNA from 1 species